GGGCAGAGCGGUCCUGGGUUGACUGUAGCCCCACUCCCUCCAGCUCGCCAUGACCACUUGUGACCAGGAGAUGGUGAGGAUCCCCCGGGUAUGCACAUGAGCUUCCAGGAUACCAGUGCAGGCACCUGCAACAACAGGGCCCCUCCCCCUGCCUCUAGUCUCUUGGCUGUGCAGCUACCUGGUAUCACACUACAGAGGAACAGGGGCCAUUGUCCUGAGCUGCAGAAGUGAACAACAGAAAGGGGUCUCUCUCAGGCUCCCUGAUGAAAACUGAAGCCCACUGGAAGAGUGAAGGGAAUCUCUGUAACUAAAGGCACACCAGACCACCACACUUGGUAAGUUGGAGGGAUCAUCACCACCCAUUGGAACCUGGACUAUUUUCAGGGGAAAGGCAGCUGGAAACUGCAAUAGAAUCUUGCAGAGUUCAACAAUGCAGGACAGGGAGCUCAACUUGGGACUUGCAGCCAGAAAUCUGCCUGAAUCUCAUGGGUCUGUGACUGGCUUACUGAGACUCACUGACUUAUAACUGCACACUGCUGCAAACAUUGUCUAUUGUGACAGCAGAGACAUAUCCUGAAGGAGGCCCUUCAUUUUUAUCAUUUGUUAUUUUCAAAAUUACCACUAUUUUUUGUUCUUAUUUUAAUUUUUUUCUUCUUUUUCUACUCUUUUAAAAUUUUUAUUUUUCUCUUUUAUCUUUCUUUUCUCUUUUCUUUCUCUCUCUCUCCCUCACUCUCUUGCUGUCCCACAUUGUUUUUCAUUUCCCUUUAUGUUCCUGUUCAGGCCCUAAUUUGUAUUUCUUCUUUAUUUUUCUUUUCUUCUCUUUCCCUCUCUCACCUAUGUCCUCUGGCCUCACUGUUAACCUUCCCCUAUCCUUCUACCUGCCUAUUCCUCCCUUCCCAACUUCUUCUAACUCCCUAUUCCAAAGGGUAAAGUUGCUAUAUUGAAGAGUUUAUUUACUAUAAACAUAUGUUGGGUUGGUCCUUGAUUUUGAUUUAAUUCACACAGUUAAAUGUGAUAGAUUAAUAACUACCACAAAUUGUCAUUUUCUAAGAGGUACUUGAUGCUAUUGUGUUGCUGAUUGUAUCACUUGGGCUAAGGUGUUGUGAUUGAUCUAAUCAGUUGUCUUUCCUGGUAUAAUGAAAAUGAGAUAACCUCAGAGUCAUUAGAGACUCAAAACAUAAAGACCAGCUGUAUCUGGAAGACACCUCUGAAAAGCAAUCAUUCUAUAAGGGUUCUAAAUACAUCAAUGAAGAUACUUACAAUAAACAACCUCAAAGUAUCAAACCAGGAACUAAACCAAGGACAGUACCAAAAACAAAAAUGAGAAAACAUUUAAACAAGGCCCAAACUCAGAC
ensembl:lncRNA